rnacentral:misc_RNA from 2 species
AACGCACAUUGCGCCCGCUAGUACUCUAGCGGGCAUGCCUGUCCGAGCGUCAUUUCAACCCUCGAGCCCCCGGGCUUGGUGUUGGGGAUCGGCCGCCGCUCACCCGGUGGCCGGCCCCGAAUUAUAGUGGCGGUCUCGCUGUAGCCUCCUCUGCGUAGUAGCGCACCUCGCACUGGAACGCGGCGCGGCCACGCCGUAAAACCCCAACUUCUGAAGGUUGACCUCGGAUCAGGUAGGAGUACCCGCUGAACUUAA